rnacentral:lncRNA from 1 species
CACAGCCACCAGUCUGCUUGCACCUCCCUGACUCUGCUGCCUGCACCGUCCUUGUGCACAGGUGUUGGGUGGGGGAAUAGCCUUCUUUCUACCCAUUUGGGUCAGCUUGUGUCCUCAGGAGCUUUGUGCCAUUUCCAGGGGGUUCCUUUCAAAGGUUUGUGGGGGUUAGGAGGGCUGAAGGGGUCAAGACCUGCUGGAAAGAAGAGUCUUGAAGAACAGCUAGAUUCUGCAGACAUGGUGAUAUGGAAAGACUCAUCCUGGGAGGACAGGAAAAUACUGUAAUUUUGUCAUUGAAAUGAAAAGGAUGGGAAGAACAGAUCAGAAGCAUAUUAUUGGAAAUGCCAUGAUGUGAAUAUUCACAGAGAACUUCAGACUCAGAAGUGGAUUAUUUCUGCUCUUGGAGUUGCAGUUACAAAUCAAAUGUUAGUAUUAAAACCGUGUAAAUAUUUUUUUGUGAUACUACUGCAUAGGUGAAGACUUGAAAAAAAGCCUGUGUGUCCCCUCCUUCUGGUGAAAUGACAUUUCCCCAGGCCAGUGUGUUUUUAAUUCUCUUGUUUCCUGAGGCAUCUCAGCCCUUUCAUAUUAAUCACAAUCAAGUGGUCUUGUCAUGCUAGGCUCAGGGAAAUUCUUUGCCCUCAAGUCAUCUAUGCCCUGCUCAAAACACAGAUGUGGUGGAUGCAUUGAGCUCUUGAACAUGAGUUACAAUCUAAUUUUGAAGUAUGAGCUCCUCUGAUUGAUGUAUCUCCUCAAAAUCCAGGCAGGUCAGGCCCUCCACCUCAGUUCAGCUGGGACCACAUCCAAUGGGAACAGUGACUGCCUCCUCUGCAUGGGCUAGCUCUUCCUUCAGGGCAGUC